rnacentral:rRNA from 1 species
AGCGAACGCUGGCGGCAGGCCUAACACAUGCAAGUCGAGCGCCCAGCAAUGGGAGCGGCAGACGGGUGAGUAACGCGUGGGGAUGUGCCCAAUGGUGCGGAAUAACCCAGGGAAACUUGGAUUAAUACCGCAUGUGCCCUUCGGGGGAAAGAUUUAUCGCCAUUGGAUCAACCCGCGUCUGAUUAGCUAGUUGGUGAGGUAAAGGCUCACCAAGGCGACGAUCAGUAGCUGGUCUGAGAGGAUGAUCAGCCACACUGGGACUGAGACACGGCCCAGACUCCUACGGGAGGCAGCAGUGGGGAAUAUUGGACAAUGGGCGCAAGCCUGAUCCAGCCAUGCCGCGUGAGUGAUGAAGGCCUUAGGGUUGUAAAGCUCUUUCGCCGGUGAAGAUAAUGACGGUAACCGGAGAAGAAGCCCCGGCUAACUUCGUGCCAGCCGCCGCCGUAAGAC